CGGGUGUGAGUAGAGUGGCGGACGGGUGAGUAAUACUUGGGAAUCUGCCUAGUAGUGGGGGAUAACUCGGGGAAACUCGAGCUAAUACCGCAUACGCCCUACGGGGGAAAGAUUUAUCGCUAUUAGAUGAGCCCAAGUCAGAUUAGCUAGUUGGUAGGGUAAUGGCCUACCAAGGCGACGAUCUGUAGCUGGUCUGAGAGGACGAACAGCCACACUGGGACUGAGACACGGCCCAG
rnacentral:rRNA from 1 species